CCUACGGGUGGCAGCAGUGAGGAAUAUUGGUCAAUGGUCGGGAGACUGAACCAGCCAAGCCGCGUGAGGGUGGAAGGUACAGAGUAUCGUAAACCUCUUUUGUCAGGGAACAAAGGCGGGGCCGUGUCCCCGGAUGAGUGUACCUGAAGAAAAAGCAUCGGCUAACUCCGUGCCAGCAGCCGCGGUAAUACGGAGGAUGCGAGCGUUAUCCGGAUUUUUUGGGUUUAAAGGGUGCGCAGGCGGUCUGUUAAGUCAGCGGUCAAAGCCCGGGGCUCAACCCCGGUCCGCCGUUGAAACUGGCAGGCUCGAGUUGGAGAGAAGUAUGCGGAAUGCGCGGUGUAGCGGUGAAAUGCAUAGAUAUCGCGCAGAACUCCGAUUGCGAAGGCAGCAUGCCGGCUCCACACUGACGCUGAGGCACGAAAGCGUGGGUAUCGAACAGGAUUAGAUACCCCAGUAGUC
rnacentral:rRNA from 1 species